rnacentral:rRNA from 1 species
UACGGAGGGUGCAAGCGUUAAUCGGAAUUACUGGGCGUAAAGCGCACGCAGGCGGUCUGUCAAGUCGGAUGUGAAAUCCCCGGGCUCAACCUGGGAACUGCAUUCGAAACUGGCAGGCUUGAGUCUUGUAGAGGGGGGUAGAAUUCCAGGUGUAGCGGUGAAAUGCGUAGAGAUCUGGAGGAAUACCGGUGGCGAAGGCGGCCCCCUGGACGAAGACUGACGCUCAGGUGCGAAAGCGUGGGGAGCAAACAGG